CAGAGUAAAGCCAGAUUUAAAGAAAAAAAAAAAAAGUAUUGGUCAGUAUGCUGUCAGUUGCUGUCAGUCAUCUCAAUCUUUUGUUUCUGGUCGGUGAUCUCAAUGUCAAUGUCAAAAACUUGAAGCUGCGAAACCGCGAAAUCAAAAACAUUGAAAACGUGUUAAUUUUUUGCAUUUGUUGUAAUUUUUCUCUUUUGAGGCAACAAACGCGCUGUGAUUUCAAACCGUAAACAUACAAAUUAACGAACCGUAAACAUACAAAACGAAUUAUGGACGACCAAAACCCAACACAAUCAGCUUUGCAUAAUAUGAAGCUAAUAAAAAAGUAUUUGAAGAUUAAAAUAAUGGAGGACAAUAUCUCGUUUACGGGUCGUAAGUAUGAAAGGGAACACGUCUACGAUUUGAUAGCACGGUCUGUUUUACACGGGGAGUCGCAUUCAGCGCUCAUCAUCGGACCCCGAGGCUCUGGUAAGACUACGCUCCUAAAUUGGGUGCUUCACCAGGUGUCCAACAAAGUAGACUUGGUUAAUGAUGCCUAUCUCAUCAAAUUGAACGGCCUCAUACAUCAUGAUGACAAACUCGCUUUUAAAUACAUCACUGCACAGAUGCGGCUAGAGAGUGCAGUCGGUGACAGAGUAUUUGGGUCCUUUGCUGAGAAACUGAGCUUUAUACUGCAAUGUCUGACGAGCGGUGCAGACAGACAGUGCAAAACUAUAGUGUUCAUAUUGGAGGAGUUUGACAUGUUCUGUCACGGUGCACACAGACAGACACUUCUGUACAAUCUGUUUAACAUCACACACACCAAUAAGGCGCCCGUGUGUGUAUUGGGCAUAACAAGUCACUUAAACGUUAUGGAGCUACUAGAUAAACGAGUGAAGUCCCGAUUCUCACAUAGGAACAUAUUCAUUUACUCCAACGAGACAGAAGUGGGUGCAGAGUGCCCCGUAACCAACUACAAAGAAAAGCUAGUUCAAUCUCUCAGUAUGCCCCUUAGCUUGGCAAAAAAAGAUAUGUCUGAAAAACGCAGAGGCAGGAAAUCGACAGUUAAUAUGGACGAGCAAAUGGAAGUUGAUGGUGAAAUCCAAUUUUGCAUACCAGAUGUCAUCCUAACUAAAUGCAAAACAGAUAAAAGACAAUUCCAGCAUCUGGAUUCCAGUUUUCUGGAAGAUUGGAAUGCCCACAUACAAAGCUUGGCGAACGACCAAAAAAUUCUGGAUUCUCUGGAAAAAUUGUACCACUUCACUGGCAAUGAACAAACCUUUAAAGAUAUUUUGUUUCAAACAGUGUCAAAGCUGUUACCAAACAAGCCAUACAUAGAUACCACAGAGCUAUGUAAUGCAAUAGACAGCGCAGUGUGCUCGGAGCAUAGAGUCAAGCUCCUACAAUCCCUGUCUAUUCUGGAGUUGUCUCUGGUCAUCGCGAUGGUACACGGAAUGGCCAUAUUCGACGGACAACCGAUGAACUUCGAAAUGGUUUUACACAGAUAUACCAAAUUCGCCAAUACGAACUCUUCAAACCAAUCCGUGCCGCGACCAGUGGUGCUGAAGGCAUUCGAACAUUUGGAGCUGCUACAGAUCAUAACCCCUUCAAAGAAUGCGCCCCACAGUUCAGAAGACGCGUGCACGAGUAGUGUGCAGAAGGAGUAUAAGCUUUACGCCCUGUCUGCGUCCGUGGAUGAUGUGAAGCAAGCCAUCGCGAGCUACAGAGCACUGCCGACUGAAAUUAGUCAUUGGUUCAAUAAUUCCAUUGACUGAGUUCCAGAAAUUCCGAAAUUAAUCAUUGGAACAAUGUUUCUAUUGACUGAGUUCUAGAAAUUCCGAAAUUAAUCAGUGAUUCAACAAUUCCAUUGAUUGAGUUCCAGAAAUUCCGAAAAUAGUCAUUGAUUCAACAGUUCCAUUGAUCGAAUUACAGAGAUUCCGAAAUUAAUCAUUGGUGUAACAAUUCCAUUUGACCAAGAUCCAGAAAUUCCGAAAUUAGUCAUUGGUUCAACGGUUCCAUUGACCGAGUUCCAGAAAUUCCGAAAGUAAUCAUUGGUUCAA